rnacentral:rRNA from 1 species
GACGAACGCUGGCGGCGUGCCUAAUACAUGCAAGUCGAACGCUUCUUUCCUCCCGAGUGCUUGCACUCAAUUGGAAAGAGGAGUGGCGGACGGGUGAGUAACACGUGGGUAACCUACCCAUCAGAGGGGGAUAACACUUGGAAACAGGUGCUAAUACCGCAUAACAGUUUAUGCCGCAUGGCAUAAGAGUGAAAGGCGCUUUCGGGUGCUGUUGAGGGUUGGACCCAGGGUGCAUUAGCUAGUUGGUGAGGUAACGGCUCACCAAGGGCACGAUGCAUAGCCGACCUGAGAGGGUGAUCGGCCACACUGGAACUGAGACACGGCCCAGACUCCUACGGGAGGCAGCAGUGGGGAAUCUUCGGCAAUGGACGAAAGGCUGACCGAGCAACGCCGCGCGAGUGAAGAAGGUUUUCGGGUCGUAAAACUCUGUUGUUAGAGAAGAACAAGGACGUUUGUAACUGAAGGUCACCUGACGGUAUCUAACCAGAAAGCCACGGCUAACUACGUG